rnacentral:lncRNA from 1 species
UCUCUCUGCAAAGGUACUUGUCAAUUUCAAUUCUAUGUUCAUGUUUUUAAAUUUAAUUUAUACAGAUAGCUAUAUUUUAUAUAAAAAUUUAAUUGUAAUUGGUAGAAGUACUUUGAUUUUUAUUUCUUUGAUUGUGAUGAAAUCUGAUGAAAGGCUGAACCCUGGAUGCUCUUUUUUUGUGUGCCCUUUUCUGUAAAAAGUUGUUUCAUCUUACCUAGAAAGUGAAUUUACGGAUAACGGAUGAACCGUUUUACUGAAAUAUGGUCAUAGUAGCAUGUAUUUUCAAUUUUCAUUGAACUACAUGUUACCUUCACACAAUGACACUGAAAAAAUUCAGCCAACUCUUUUUCCUUUAUUCUUACAGUAGUAUUUUGUUCUCAAUUUCUCAAUAUUAAUACUUAUUUGCUCAUUUAAGUUCUCUCUGUUUGUAGAUAUCCUUUCUUUCUAGUUUGAGUUUGUGCCGUUACAUGGAUUCAACGGAUUGUAAUUACUCAAGUUAUGUGGCUCGCAGUGUAAAUCUUUUAUGCUGGAUUAUGCCGGGAAGGAAGCACAGAUAUAUUAUAUAUUGAUCGAUGUUAAUCUUUUAUUAAAUAUUUUAACAUACUUUUCAAUCAUUUUACACGAAAGUAUUUCAUAAUUAAUUAAUUGAUAAUUCUAACUAAUCCAAUAAAACAGUAUUUCUGAAUUAUUGUAAAGAAAAUUCACUUUUGCUUUAAUAUAGCUCGAAGAAUGAAGGAAAAAAAUAAGGGGGAAAUAUGAAUGCUCGUUGCUGCACUGACACACUUAAUUCUUCG